GACAGAGGAUGCAAGCGUUAUCCGGAAUGAUUGGGCGUAAAGCGUCUGUAGGUGGUUAGGUAAGUUAAGUGUGAAAGCCCCGGGCUCAACCUGGGAAUGCCGCUUAAUACUGCCUAACUAGAGUAUUGUAGAGGAAAGUGGAAUUUCCGGUGUAGCGGUGAAAUGCGUAGAUAUCGGAAGGAACAUCAGUGGCGAAGGCGACUUUCUGGACAAAUACUGACACUGAGGCACGAAAGCAUGGGGAGCAAACAGG
rnacentral:rRNA from 1 species